UUUCCUACGGAGGCAGCAGUGAGGAAUAUUGGUCAAUGGACGCAAGUCUGAACCAGCCAUGCCGCGUGCAGGAAGACGGCUCUAUGAGUUGUAAACUGCUUUUGUACGAGGGUAAACGCAGAUACGUGUAUCUGUCUGAAAGUAUCGUACGAAUAAGGAUCGGCUAACUCCGUGCCAGCAGCCGCGGUAAUACGGAGGAUUCAAGCGUUAUCCGGAUUUAUUGGGUUUAAAGGGUGCGUAGGCGGUCGGAUAAGUUAGAGGUGAAAUCCCGAGGCUCAACUUCGGGGCUGCCGCUAAUACUGUAG
rnacentral:rRNA from 1 species